rnacentral:lncRNA from 1 species
UGGAUUCUCGGCUGAGCUGGAGAGGUCCAGGCUGUGACUGGUCCCGUUUACAGAGGUCAAGGAGUUGCCCAUGGAGCCUGAGAGUGGCCGAGUAGCAAGAGCGCUGUCCUGCUGACGGCUGCCCUCCAUGGACGCUCCUCCUGGCGGCAGGGCCUCGGCCCUAGACAGGCCAUCACUGCAGGGCAUGUUCCUGGGAUCUGUCCCACAGAGGGUCCCUGCCCCCUGCCUCAGGCAGAGGGUGACGCUGGCUGUGGAAACCUGGGCAUAGGCCUACCUUCCCUUCUUCAGGGGUCCCCUGUGUCCCCUGGGAGCCAGGUCUAGAUUAGGCUCCUCCACACACACUCCCUGGAAGGCGGGUCCAGGUUGUCCCCCCCGCUAGGAGCUUGGACCAGCUUCCCCAGCUUGGACCAUGGCCGAGGGUGUGCGUGUUGGAGAGACCAGAAGAUGUCCCAAGGAGGGCAAGGCCUGGGGACUGCAGGGGCGCCUGGAGUGGCUGUGGUGGCCUUCCUGGAGUCUGCUGGGGCCUCCCCUCUCUCCUCCCACCCUCCCCUUCCCUCUCUCUUCCCCCAGGAGACUGCUCGGCCCCACCUGGGUCCAGAGAGACUGGCUAGAAUCCUGACCUGGCCUCCCCUAGCAGUCCCCUAGCCGUGGGACGUGGGCCACGCCACUCUUUCUCUGAGCCUCGGCUUCCUUGUCCACCAACCCAGAAGCGUGAGCAUCAUGGCAGCCACAUUUUGGGGUGGCUGGAGAUGAAGGCAGCGUGUCUGUAGAGGCCUCGUUCUGACAUUUAGCCGCCAUUGAAUAGGUCACGGCUGUUGCUAUCCGGUCCUUGCUGGCAUUUAUGUCCAGCCCACAGGAGGGGCCUGUGGUGCCUUCCCCAGGAGCACGGCAGGGGGCAGCAGAGCCCCUCCUUGGCGGCCAGGUGCUCGCUCUUCUGGGUAGGCAGAGCUUCACCCCGUGGGUGAGCCUGGACUUGAGGGUGGAGCCCUGGAGGACUUCAGACCUGCCAUCACGUCAGCACUUGGGUCCUGAGCACCCAGCUGUGUCCCCACCACUGGGAAGAGGCAGAAGCGGAGGCAUGGGGCUCCCUCCCGCCAGCCCUCCUGGCCCCCCAGGGCUCUCAGCUCCCUCCUCUUCCACCCUUCCUUUCCUCCUCCUUCCUCUCAGCUCCAUGCAGUGCACACCUGCUGUGCCCCGUGCCCCGUGCCCCGUGCCCCACGCUAGGGACCCGAGACAGGGAACAGCACCGCAGCUGUGCCCUCUGGAACCUCCCGACUCAAGCAGAGAAGAUAAUAAGCAAAUGGAUAAAAGAGAGAAGAAAGAGCCCUAUGGAUCCUGGCAGCCCAGACCAAUCAGAACAGUGGGUGAGGAGGGGGCAGGGUGUGGGCAGCAGAGGAGCAGCUGGGGCCAAGGUCCUUGUGCCACCUGACACGGUGGUGGGGAGGAGGGAGAGCGGCACAGACUGCAGGUCAGCUCACCUGCAGCAAGACUACUGCCAACAUUAACUGAGCACUUACUACACUGCAGGCACCUGGACUGUCCUGUUUUACAGAUGAGAAAAUUGAGGGGACACAGCCAACGUGGGGGCUUCGGGGUCCUGGGAGGCCAAGGGAAGGAGACGGAACAAGAAAAAGCCACACUUCGGUGGCCUGUUGGGGUGCUGGCACCCCCCUGGGUCACUCGGUGUUAUUUAAUGUGAAUCAUCCUCAUCACUGAGAGGACUUCAGAAGGAAUGGAAUCGGGGUCUCACAGGGAGGUGACCUGCCCGAGGUCAUAGUCAGCAAGUGGCAGACCUGAGACGGAACCCAGGUCUCCCAAGUUGGCAGGUGUGUCCCUGUGCCCCAAAGCCUGGAGUCCCCCGGGGCCUGCGGGUCCCUGCUGGAGCUCCCAAGGAACCCUGAGCCCACCCACCGGAGGCCCAGCUGCAUCUCACCAGGCCCUGCCCACUGCCCACUGCCCUACUCCCAGGAACCCUGUCACCUCUCCCUGGUGGCUCGACCCCGUUUCCUUCCCUCAUGAUGCUGUGACAACCUGAGGUUACUGUUUACUUGGGUGGGUUGUCUCCCCCACCAGAGUGCACCCCAGCCCCAGGGAACCCCAGCCUCAGGCCUCAGCCCGAGCCCCACAGCCCGCACAUGCCACCCUGACAGGUCAUUCAUCCUCCUUCCUGUCCCCGAGCCUGGCCCUGGGCAUGGUGCAGAGGAAGGGCUCAGUGAAGGUGGACGGAUGGAGGGACAGGUGAUGGGCAGAUGAAGGAUGGAUGGAUGGAUGAAAGACUAUUGGCCUGAGCUUGUGCUGGCCCUGUGACCCACAGGAAGGUCAGAGAAGAGACAGCAGUGGGGGCCCAGGCAGCGGGUCCUCCUGUGGGGGGCAUCCGGGGCAGGGGCCGUGUCAGGGCCAAGGACCAGGCCGACAGCCAUUCUGGCCACACCCCAUCACAUGUGCAGAGCCAGUAUGGGGGGACCCCAGGGUGCGACCCCGGGAGCAUCUCCUGGACAGAGCAGGGACAGGCUGGAAUCCUUGGGGCUGGAGCAGGAGACCGAGCUCACCAAGGGUUGGCCUGGGCCGGCAGCUAUGGGACCUGAGCCCAGGCAGGGCCCUGGACAAGGCUGCUGGCCCUCUCUGGGACACCAUGAUUGGCUUCAGCGGGGCCCUCAAGCCUCUGGGACACUGCCUGCGGUGCUUCCAGAAGACACACAUCAGCCAGAAAUGGCAGAGCUAGGCUAGGGGCCUGGAGGGAGGUGACUCAGGGCCCUGGUCUUUGCUUAGUGUGACGGGCGGUGCCUCUUUCUUGGAAGUCAGGCUCACAGGUGGCUCCGGGAGGAGGUAGGGGGUCAAAUGCCUCUGGAGGGAGGGUGGGGUUGAGGGACCAGACCCGCUGCAGGCGCCAGGCCUGUGCCUCUGAGCUGGCCGCCAGUACCUGGUGGGACCUUCCCAAGCGCAGUCUGACAUGCCAGGCUGUUCGUGGGUGCUUCGGCCGCUUCCCGUGGUUCAGGGUCCCACGCCAGACCUGGACUUGGCCCCCAUCCCCUCACCUAUGACACCUACCCACCUCUCCAGUCCUGCGUCCCUCAGCCCCCUGCCCAGCCCCUCACCCUCUGCCACCUGACAUGCGCAGCUUUUCCUGAACAGACAGACCACCUCCUCUCUAAGGUCCCUGCUCCGCCAUAUGCUGCGUGCCUGCGUGGGGUCACCUUCCCAGGACACUACUCCCAUGCUUCCCCUGCUGGACUGAAGGCCUGGCUCUGGCCCCACGGCCUCAGGUGGUGGGGCAGCCCCAGCCUGGCUGCUCCCAUCACAAGCUGAGCCGGCCACCGGGUGACCCACUCCAGGAGGCCUGGCAGGGGCUUGCGCACGGGCACCCGGCUAGAGGAGGGCAGGGGCGCCUCCUGGGGGAGCCUGGGCUGGAAUCCAGAGUCCCAGGUGGAGAAAACGUGGGAGCAGCCAGCCUCAGAAGCAGCUAAUGAGGGCUGCGAGACCCAUGUCCUGUCCACCCACCCCAAGUCCACGUCAGCCUGCGCUGCCAAGGCGGCCAUGGCCCGCCGUCCCUCCCAGCGGCCGACAUUGCAACACCAUUCAGGAAUCCAUGGGCAGUUGUUCUGAUUGGACAUUCUGGGUCACAUGACUGGGAGGACAGCAUUGAAGGCGGGUUGCACCCAGCAGAGCUCGACCUUGGCCUUGAGAGGGGUGGUUUCAAGGCAGCCCCCAGGCAGGCAGCUGCCAAGGAGAGGGGUGACCUCCAGGACCUGUGUUCACACUCUGCCCUGCUCUGAGCGGUGUGGCCUCGCGGCCUCGCGUGGGCCUCCACUCUUGCCUUACGCCACCAGAGGCUCACGUGGACUUGGACCCUCACAGCACACCAGGCACUUGAGCCGUCCCAGACCCACCUGAGACCCUGCCAGCUCCUUUCCUCUCUGGGCCUCAGUGUUCCCCUCACAAAAGGGGUGUGACCAAAAGCACUGAUUCCAGAGUUUCGCAUCUCAACUGUGCAAACUGGGGCACUACAUAGACUUCUCUGGGCCUCAGUCCCCUCACCUGUAUAACAGAUCAUAAAGUUUCCACCCCAUAGAAUCAUUGCAAAAAUUCCAACGAGUCAAAUGGGUAUAAAACACGUGGCUCGAGGCUGGCACAAAGUAAAGCUUAUUGAGUUGGAUAAAUAAAAGCAGAGCGUGGUUACCCCCCAACUCGGCCAUCAAACUGUGGCAAUUUGAUGAUUUUUGCGAAAUCUGGAGAACACUCGUUCCAAAACGUAAUCCCUGUUGUUCAUUGGUUCAGUGACUAAACAGAUCCUGGAAGGAAAUGUUAGACUCGCCACCCCAAGUGGAAAACCGGAGUCACUUCCCACGGGGAGAAGGUCGUUAUGAAGAUGAACACAGCCAAUGUUCACCGUGCGUGGGGCUGUCUGCCAAGCAGCCGCCAGCGUCAACUCGCUCGUCCCCACGGCAACCCUGUGAGAGGGACACCACUCUAUCAUCGUCACGUAUGUGGGGAAACUGAGGCAGAGCUGUCGGAAGUCACUUGACAGGUCCCAGAUGGAAAGCAGCAGGCCCCAAGACACAGCUGGAGCAGAGGAACGCACAGAAGAACUCCCCAGGGAGACGGACACGUGGAGAGGCAGGGGGGCCACAGCAGCACCAGCCCGAGACGUCCCCUUGGAUGGUCAGAGGACCAAGGAGACCCAGAAGAAUGACGUUCUCACUGUGUGAUUUGCUGCUCUUUAAGGCCAUGCCUGCGCCAGAUGACUCUGCAGCAUGCAGGCUACGCCUCUGAAGCAGGAGGGGACCCAGAAGCACUGACCAUUUCUACCUCCCCUCCCUGGCAUUUUUAGCUUAGGACACUGUCCAAACUCAAGGCGAGUCAAUGAGGGGAUUAAGAAAGGCUUUAGUGCCCAUUGAUAAAAAUGGGCAAAAUCCUGGAAUUAAAUACACCCGUGUAUCACUUAGUAACAGGGAUGCAUCCUGAGAAAAGUAGUCGUAAGUGAUCGAGUGGAUGCUGGAACAUCAGAGUGUGUGCUCACGUAAACUAAGACAGCUCUGACAUCACCAGGCUGCUAGCUUUCCAGUACUGUAACAAAAUACCUGAGUUGAUCAACUAAAAAAGAGAAAAGGUUUUUGGCUCACAGUUUGGGUGGUGUCAGCUCACUGUCAGGGAGACCUGUUGCUUUGGGGCCUGGGUGAGGCAGCACGUCAUGGCAGGGAGCAUGUGCAGAGCAGGCUGCUCACAAGAUGUGGGAGACAGAGAAAGAGAAAUGCUGUGGCAUCUCAUGAUCCCCUUGGAGGGCCUGAGACCACCCCCUAGGCGUCCCUCUUAAAGCCCCACCACCACCCUGUGGCACCAAGCUGGGGACCAAACCAUUGCCACCAGGGGACACUUACCAAACAAUAGCACUGAGCAAGACAGCAGAUACAUCACUGUGGUGGGGAUCAGGGCUGCCACCAAGGGAAAAGCACACAGGGAAGGGGACGGUGGGGAGCCCAGGCUGGGACCUGAGUGGACAUUUGCUCUCAUGGCUUAAAUACACUGGAGCACCCGCGAGGGCUGAGCUCCGGCUCCGUCUGCUGCGACGACCUGGAACCUCUGUCACCCAGCAUCAGGGAGCCCACCGGCCCCCCAACCCCACUUCCUCAAUAUCUCUGCCCCAGUGAGCAGGGCACUCUGGGAAGUGGACAGUCCCGAGGCCAACGCAGGACACACAGGGACGCCGCGAGCUUCAGUAUGGGCAGAACCUAAGGAGGUGGCCAGAGAAGGCCAGGGGUGCAGUGGAGACACCAGGGCCAGCUGGAGCAGCCUGAGCGCCGAGGGGCACGGAGCUUGGCCACCUGAGUGGAUCAGAGCACAGGGUGUCACACAGGACCCGCAGACGCAGCCCGGUGACAGAGAAUGAAAGCAGGGAGAGGAAGGAAGGAGGAGCCGGAGGAGGGGGGAGCCCGGGAGAAGCUCCUCCUGCUGAAGGGAAAGAAGACCCGGGUCUGUCCCAAGGCCACCGACCACAGGCAAAGCCAGCCUCUGACCUCCGGGAUGCGGGAUGGCAGUCGGUAUGUUUAUCAGAAAAUCUUUUUUUAUUUGUCUGCAGCACCUCAGUCUGGUCUCGGGGAAGCAACCUGACCAACGUCCCCAAGGCUGUGCCACCAACCAGGAAGCUGUGCCACCAACCAGGCAGCUGUGCCCUGCAGAGGUGUCAAGGUCAUGCCACAGGAAGGGGCAGAGGACGCAGCUAUCUGUUCAGAGAAAAGAAAGCAGCGCUGAGGAGCAGCUCUAUCCUGGGCAGGGCCCUGGGGGCAAGAUGAAGGCUGCUGAGGGGCAACCCAGCGCCCACGCAGGCCACCCGGCAUCGGGACUGCGUCACCAGCUGGGAUGGCUGCUCAGGGGUUCCGCUGAAGAGCCACGGGGCCCACAGAUGGCGCUCGAAGAGCCAUGCAGGAGUCCAUGUGCAGGAAAGAACAGGGUCAACACAGGAACCGCUGGCCCAUUUAGGGCAGGGCUCCCAAUCUGUCGCCACUGACAACGGACCAGAUCAAUAUUUGAUUAAUGUCACUAGUUUUUAUUAAUUAUUUUUUAAUUUGUUCUAAUUGGUCAUAAAUGACAGUGGAACGCACUUUGUCACCUGAUACAUAAAUGGAGCACAACUUCUCACUCUUCGGGUUGUACAUGCUCUAGAUUCACACGGGUCGUGUAGUCACAUAUGCACAUGGGUGAUAAUUGUCCCCUUCAUUAUACUGUCCUUCCUUCCCCCCACCUCCUCCCCUCUGCCUAACCCAACGUACCUCUGCUCUUCCCUAGCCACCCCCCUCCUUAUUGUGAAUUAGCAUCUGCAUGUCAGAGAAAACAUUCAGCCUUCGGGUUUGGGGGAUUGGUUUAUUUCACUUAGCAUGAUACUCUCCAGCUCCAUCCAUUUACCGGCAAAGGCCAUAAUUCCAUUCUUCUUUAAGGCUGAGUAGUAUUCCGUUGUGUACAUACACCACAUUUUCUUUAUCCAUUCAUCUGUUGAAGGGUAUCUAGGUUGGUUCUAUGGUUCAGCUAUUGUGAAUU